rnacentral:rRNA from 1 species
GAUGAACGCUAGCGGCAGGCCUAACACAUGCAAGUCGAGGGAGGAGCUUUCGGGCUUCGACCGGCGUACGGGUGCGUAACGCGUAUACAAUCUGCCUUUCACAUAGGGAUAGCCCGAAGAAAUUUGGAUUAAUACCUAAUGGUAUAUAGAGGUGGCAUCACCUUUAUAUUAAAGCUGAGGCGGUGAAAGAUGAGUAUGCGUUCUAUUAGCUAGUUGGAGAGGUAACGGCUCCCCAAGGCGACGAUAGAUAGGGGUUCUGAGAGGGAUAUCCCCCACACUGGUACUGAGAUACGGACCAGACUCCUACGGGAGGCAGCAGUGAGGAAUAUUGGACAAUGGUCGGAAGACUGAUCCAGCCAUGCCGCGUGCAGGAAGACGGCCUUAUGGGUGGUAAACUGCUUUUGCAGGGGAAGAAUAAGGACUACGCGUAGUUUGAUGACGGUACUCUGAGAAUAAGCAUCGGCUAACUCCGUG